UGCGUAGGCGGUUUGAUAAGUCAGAGGUGAAAGCCCACAGCUCAACUGUGGAAUUGCCUUUGAUACUGUUAGACUUGAAUCAGGUUGAGGUUGGCGGAAUGUGGCAUGUAGCGGUGAAAUGCAUAGAUAUGCCAUAGAACACCAAUUGCGAAGGCAGCUGACUAGACCUGUAUUGUCGCUGAGGCACGAAAGCGUGGGGAGCGAACAGGAUUAGAUACCCUGGUAGUCC
rnacentral:rRNA from 1 species